rnacentral:rRNA from 1 species
AGAGUUUGAUCCUUUCUCAGAUUGAACGCUGGCGGCAUGCCUUACACAUGCAAGUCGAACGGCAGCACGGGAGCUUGCUCCUGGUGGCGAGUGGCGAACGGGUGAGUAAUAUAUCGGAACGUACCCUAGAGUGGGGGAUAACGCAGCGAAAGUUGCGCUAAUACCGCAUACGAUCUACGGAUGAAAGUGGGGGAUCGCAAGACCUCAUGCUCAUGGAGCGGCCGAUAUCUGAUUAGCUAGUUGGUGGGGUAAAGGCCUACCAAGGCAUCGAUCAGUAGCUGGUCUGAGAGGACGACCAGCCACACUGGAACUGAGACACGGUCCAGACUCCUACGGGAGGCAGCAGUGGGGAAUUUUGGACAAUGGGGGCAACCCUGAUCCAGCAAUGCCGCGUGAGUGAAGAAGGCCUUCGGGUUGUAAAGCUCUUUUGUCAGGGAAGAAACGGUGAGGGCUAAUAUCCUUUGCUAAUGACGGUACCUGAAGAAUAAGCACCGGCUAACUACGUGCCAGCAGCCGCGGUAAUACGUAGGGUGCAAGCGUUAAUCGGAAUUACUGGGCGUAAAGCGUGCGCAGGCGGUUAUGUAAGUCAGAUGUGAAAUCCCCGGGCUCAACCUGGGAAUGGCAUUUGAGACUGCAUGGCUAGAGUGUGUCAGAGGGGGGUAGAAUUCCACGUGUAGCAGUGAAAUGCGUAGAGAUGUGGAGGAAUACCGAUGGCGAAGGCAGCCCCCUGGGAUAACACUGACGCUCAUGCACGAAAGCGUGGGGAGCAAACAGGAUUAGAUACCCUGGUAGUCCACGCCCUAAACGAAAAUGCUAGUUGUCGGGACAUAAAUGUAUGGUAACACAGCUAACGCGUGAAGUAGACCGCCUGGGGAGUACGGUCGCAAAGAUUAAAAAUCAAAGGAAAAGACGGGGACCCGCCCAAGCGGUGGAUGAUGUGGAUUAAUUCGAUGCAACGCGAAAAACCUUACCUACCCUCGACAUGUACGGAACCUCUGAGAGAUUAGAGGGUGCUCGAAAGAGAGCCGUAACACAGGUGCUGCAUGGCUGUCGUCAGCUCGUGUCGUGAGAUGUUGGGUUAAGUCCCGCAACGAGCGCAACCCUUGUCAUUAGUUGUUACGAAAGGGCACUCUAAUGAGACUGCCGGUGACAAACCGGAGGAAGGUGGGGAGGACGUCAAGUCCUCAUGGCCCCUAUGGGUAGGGCUUCACACGUCAUACAAUGGUACAUACAGAGGGCCGCCAACCCGCGAGGGGGAGGUAAUCCCAGAAAGAGUAUCGUAGUCCGGAUUGUAGUCUGCAACUCGACUACAUGAAGUUGGAAUCGCUAGUAAUCGCGGAUCAGCAUGUCGCGGCGAAAAAGUUCCCGGGUCUUG